rnacentral:rRNA from 1 species
CCUACGGGGUGCAGCAGUGAGGAAUAUUGGUCAAUGGACGAGAGUCUGAACCAGCCAAGUAGCGUGAAGGAUGACUGCCCUAUGGGUUGUAAACUUCUUUUAUAUGGGAAUAAAAUGUUCCACGUGUGGGAUUUUGUAUGUACCAUAUGAAUAAGGAUCGGCUAACUCCGUGCCAGCAGCCGCGGUAAUACGGAGGAGCCGAGCGUUAUCCGGAUUGAUUGGGUUUAAAGGGAGCGUAGGUUGAUUGUUAAGUCAGUUGUGAAAGUUUGCGGCUCAACCGUAAAAUUGCAGUUGACACUGGCAGUCUUGAGUACAGUAGAGGUGGGCGGAAUUCGUGGUGUAGCGGUGAAAUGCUUAGAUAUCACGAAGAACUCCGAUUGCGAAGGCAGCUCACUGGACUGCAACUGACACUGAGGCUCGAAAGUGUGGGUAUCAAACAGGAUUAGAUACCCUUGUAGUC